rnacentral:rRNA from 1 species
CGAGCGGAAACGACACUAACAAUCCUUCGGGUGCGUUAAUGGGCGUCGAGCGGCGGACGGGUGAGUAAUGCCUAGGAAAUUGCCUUGAUGUGGGGGAUAACCAUUGGAAACGAUGGCUAAUACCGCAUAAUGCCUACGGGCCAAAGAGGGGGACCUUCGGGCCUCUCGCGUCAAGAUAUGCCUAGGUGGGAUUAGCUAGUUGGUGAGGUAAUGGCUCACCAAGGCGACGAUCCCUAGCUGGUCUGAGAGGAUGAUCAGCCACACUGGAACUGAGACACGGUCCAGACUCCUACGGGAGGCAGCAGUGGGGAAUAUUGCACAAUGGGCGAAAGCCUGAUGCAGCCAUGCCGCGUGUAUGAAGAAGGCCUUCGGGUUGUAAAGUACUUUCAGUUGUGAGGAAGGGUGUGUAGUUAAUAGCUGCGCAUCUUGACGUUAGCAACAGAAGAAGCACCGGCUAACUCCGUGCCAGCAGCCGCGGUAAUACGGAGGGUGCGAGCGUUAAUCGGAAUUACUGGGCGUAAAGCGCAUGC